AAGAAGGACUCAUUCUCUUUGUGUCUGCCACUACACGAAAUGCAUUCCCCCUUCUCAAAAGGCGUAUAAGAUCUGAGUGUAAAGCAAGAGAAAAGAGAUGGACAGAGAGAGACAGGCAAAGGAACACAAGAAAGAGCCACAUCCAAGAACAACAUGAAACUUCACCCAUGUAAUGAGAGCUGUACAAAACAUCAGUAAUGAGGAUUCACACUGGGCAGAUGGAGUGAAGGUUUCCUGGCAAAAGAUGUUCUACAGAGAAGAUGCAAGAUCCUUGUACUGCACAACCCCGGUAGGUUACUGUGACUCUUGUUAAUGAGUAGGAAGACAUCUGUUUAACUAGCACACUAGGGAGACUAGAAUCCCUCAUACAUAUAUUUUCUAUUUAAACUUUCCAUGCCACGUAUAAACAAACAUUACUGGGAUUUUUUUAUUUUAUUUUCAGAAAUGCAAAUAACAUUGUGAGACCUUAGCCUUGAAAGUUAUUUUUUCCAGCAAACUGUACUUGCAUUAUCAGAACAUGAAAACCUGCAACAGUAUUUGAAUCUCACUUCUCUUUGAAAUUGUUUCUGAAACCCUGUUAUUAUGCUGGCUUCAUCAGACUGACCUCCCUGUCAUUUGAUGGUAUUGGCCAAGACAAAGAGAGAAAGCUCACUAACUCUUGUAAAAUUAAGCUUUCUUCACAAUGCAGGUUUUCACAUUCAGACCUGUCAGCCUCUGUAUCAAUUCCAUGAUUCACAUGAGCUUUGGAUGGAGCCUCAAGUGCCAGAAUGAAUUUACUGCUUAUGGAUACUUUUUUUCCCCUUAUCACUAUCUGCCCCUCAAUACUGUACUAUUCAUUAGUAUAGAUCAGGUUAAUACCAUGUUUGUGAGAACUCAUUUUGUAUCUUGAAGCCUUUAUAUUAAACAUCCUAUUGCCUAAAUUUGCUAAGAAAUUAUUUAGCUGAUUACAAUUCCAUGUUCUG